rnacentral:rRNA from 1 species
AAUCAACGCUGGCGGCGUGCCUCAGACAUGCAAGUCGAACGAUUAAAGCUCUCUUCGGAGAGUGCAUAAAGUGGCGCACGGGUGAGUAACACGUAAGUAAUCUACCCUCGAGUGGGGAAUAACGUCCGGAAACGGACGCUAAUACCGCAUAAUGCAGCGGCAUCGCAAGAUGACAGUUGUUAAAGAUUUAUCGCUUGAAGAGGAGCUUGCGGCAGAUAGCUAGUUGGUAAGGUAAUGGCUUACCAAGGCUACGAUCUGUAACCGGUCUAAGAGGACGGUCGGUCACACUGACACUGAAUAACGGGUCAGACUCCUACGGGAGGCAGCAGUCGGGAAUUUUGGGCAAUGGGCGAAAGCCUGACCCAGCAACGCCGCGUGAAGGAUGAAGUAUUUCGGUAU